rnacentral:misc_RNA from 1 species
GGACUUGAAUUGGACGGA